ACUUAUCUUUUAAUAAAUGACUUAGACAGUAUUUAUGGUUCAGUGGUUUAUUUUAUUUGGAUUCGUAUGGUUUUAUGAAUGUAAUAAAGUUUACGAAGUUUUAUGAGUUAAAAAUGAUUUCCGUCGGCUUGCGGUACCCUCGUGGUAGCGUUUUUAAAAGAAAAAAUAGGUUUCCGUGUGGGAAACGGAUUUAAAGAGGUUUUCUUGAUUUUCAUAACUUAGUGUUUCAAAAUGAGUUUCCGGGUAGAAAACAUUUUAAACUAAUAGAUGUGGAUAUGUAACUAUUUGUGAUGAAAUGGAUAUGAAUGUGAUGUAGUAUAUGUAUGUGGAUAUUCAUAUGUAUGUGGUUGUUUUUUGUACUUGUGCGACGCCGUGCAAAUACAGGGGAGACUCUGUCC
rnacentral:lncRNA from 1 species